GGGUGCUUGAGCCUUUCUGGUUUAAGCAUAUUAAGUUGGAAGAAAUGUUUGGAUUAGAAAGGAAAAAGCCCCGUUAGUUAUUAUUAACCAACGAGGCCCGAUCUAAACCUGAACAGUUGAGAUUGUGCCUCUUAACCAUUAAGAGGUCAAGGGAAAUGAGCAAG
rnacentral:antisense_RNA from 2 species